rnacentral:rRNA from 1 species
UACGGAGGGGACUAGCGUUGUUCGGAAUUACUGGGCGUAAAGCGCACGUAGGCGGAUUUGUAAGUCAGGGGUGAAAUCCCGGGGCUCAACCUCGGAACUGCCUUUGAUACUGCAAAUCUCGAGUCCGGAAGAGGUGAGUGGAAUUCCUAGUGUAGAGGUGAAAAUUCGUAGAUAUUAGGAAGAAACACCCAGUGGCGAAGGCGGCUCACUGGUCCGGUACUGACGCUGAGGUGCGAAAGCGUGGGAGCAAACAGGG